AUAUCAAAGGAAUAGGAAGUCCGAUGUUGUCCUUUUAAAACAAAAGACAAAGAGAUUAGGUGCAGAUAUCCUGACCGACAUGUCGCGCGUGUUCACAAAGUGGGUGCCAAAUACGCUCCAGGAGUCUCAUUUGAUAUUAAGUGUGUAAUUGAUGUAUUGUGGAUUUAAGACUAACAUGGGGCUUUCCAGUUCUGGGACUUCAUAAAAAAAGACUAACAUUAGCCCUCAAGGUUCGGGGACUCACCAGUCACGUUAUGCAGAUUAAAUUACACCGGUAACUUUUUAGUUCUAUUGCGUGGUAGAGACAGCACAUCGAACUGUGUUCCAUGAAGACGAUUUAGCAUGUCUAAAACUCUCAAAUUCCAACACCACUAUUGAAAUUACAUGAAAAUUAAUUAUGUUUAAUGUCCUCUCUUAAAUACAUGUAGUGCUUGUGAAAA